CCAUAGUUGGUGGGUUACUUCAGCCGUGAAUUGCGUACCCCUAUCUGAUAUGAUCUCCUGGGGGAACCCUACCCGUGAGAAGACUUUCAUUAAUGCCUCGGCCACCGUCUCGGCGUGGAUAUUGGAGAGGGCCACUGCUUCGGGAUACCGGGUGGCGUAGUCUACUAUGGUCAAGAUAUAUCUCUUGCCGGAGGGACUGGGUUUUGGUAAG